UACAUUUUGACAGCAGGACGGUGGUCAUGGAAGUCGGACUCCGCCAAGGACUGUGUAGCAACUCAUCUGCGUGUA
rnacentral:rRNA from 1 species